rnacentral:rRNA from 1 species
GUAGGUGGCAAGCGUUGUCCGGAAUUAUUGGGCGUAAAGCGCGCGCAGGCGGUCCUUUAAGUCCGAUGUGAAAGCCCACGGCUCAACCGUGGAGGGUCAUUGGAAACUGGGGGACUUGAGUACAGAAGAGGAAAGCGGAAUUCCAAGUGUGGCGGUGAAAUGCGUAGAGAUUUGGAGGAACACCAGUGGCGAAGGCGGCUUUCUGGUCUGUAACUGACGCUGAGGCGCGAAAGCGUGGGGAGCAAACAGGAUUAGAUACCCUGGUAGUCCACGCCGUAAACGAUGAGUGCUAAGUGUUAGGGGGUUUCCCGCCCCCCUUAGUGCUGCAGCUAACGCAUUAAGCACUCCGCCUGGGGGAGUACGGCCGCAAGGCUG